AUGCAACAAGUAUGUAACACUCUACAUAUGGUGAAGGAUAUUGGAAAAUGGAAGGAACCUGUUGAUGCUGCUGGCACUGCGUGUGAAAAUACUCCUAAGGUUAAGAAAGCCAGGUUUAAAAUCCCUCAUGAGGAAAAUCCAUCUCUAUAUGUGAUUUGUAUUUGCACACAACAAACACUAGAAAGCCAGAUCAAGCUGGAUCGAAAGGAAAAGCUGGACUUAAUGACUGAGAUGAAUUUACUUGAUAAUCAUACUCUUCAUAUUCUUCUGCAUGAGAAGGAGGCAAAGAAGCGCUCAUGGACUCUGCUAAGGCAACAUUAUUCUCGCAAGCAGUUGGCUGCCAAAGGCAUCAUGAAGGAUUAUGACUACUUGGACUUAUUUGAUGUUCCUCGUAUCUGA
rnacentral:rRNA from 1 species